rnacentral:rRNA from 1 species
GAUGAACGCUGGCGGCGUGCUUAACACAUGCAAGUCGAACGAUGAAGCUCCAGCUUGCUGGAGUGGAUUAGUGGCGAACGGGUGAGUAACACGUGAGUAACCUGCCCUUGACUCUGGGAUAAGCCUUGGAAACGAGGUCUAAUACCGGAUAGGAGCACUCAUCGCAUGGUGGGUGUUGGAAAGAAUUUCGGUCAUGGAUGGACUCGCGGCCUAUCAGCUUGUUGGUGAGGUAAUGGCUCACCAAGGCGACGACGGGUAGCCGGCCUGAGAGGGUGACCGGCCACACUGGGACUGAGACACGGCCCAGACUCCUACGGGAGGCAGCAGUGGGGAAUAUUGCACAAUGGGCGAAAGCCUGAUGCAGCGACGCCGCGUGAGGGAUGACGGCCUUCGGGUUGUAAACCUCUUUCAGUAGGGAAGAAGCGAAGGUGACGGUA